CAGCGGCGUUAUUGUGAAUUGGCAUAAAUUGAGCCAGCGUAAACCAAGGGCUACCUGUAUACAGUUUAGAAUAUGUCUUGAACCCAACAGAAUUGUUAAUUUGCUCUUUAUAAUAAUUGUCAGAAAUAGAAUGAUCAUGGGAUGGUUCUUAAAAUAUAAAUAUUAAACUUUUAAGUUUCAAUUGAGGCAAAAUGAGACAGAAUCUUAAUAGAACAAAAGACCUUUCUUCGAAUGAAUGAAUGGAAGCACUGAAUGGACAGAUAGGAGAACAAGGGGAAGAAAAUAAACAAACAAACAAUUAUACAAUUAAGAAAAGAGUAGAAUUGUAAUUUAUAGAUGGGAAACCAGAAAAUGAAGAGUUCUCUGCAAUACAAGGAAGGUAGGGCUAUAAAGCUAAAAAAACAGAAGCAAAAAGUAUGCAAGUUAAUGGAAAGAGAAUAGAAACUAAAAACAAAAAAUGGAAUGAAAAAUGAAUGAGAAUAAUUAGAAAUAGAAAAAAGGUUAAUGUUUUACAUUCUAGAAAAUUAAUUGCAGCAAACCAGAUUUGUGGUAUCAUUAUAGAAGGGUUAUUAAACAUGUGGGAAUAUUCAAUUUCUAAUGCCUAUCUGAAAAGUAAGGAUUUGGUAGAAAUUUUAAUUAUUAUUACUUUUGCUUCCUCCCAAUCAGGAGAGAAACUAUCAAUAAUUACUUAAUAAGAAAGGAGCAAUAAUUUUCAUUAAGAAUAUUGAAAGCAUGUUCACUGAUAUGAGUCUUUAAAUCUCCAUCCCCAGUGGCACUAAUGUAAAGAAUUGUUU
rnacentral:lncRNA from 1 species